UAAAAAGCAGGCAAAUCUGCUGCCAUGUGGCUGACCUGGUGACAAUAUUGAUCUCAGUGGAAUAAUGGAGAUCCCUCAAAAUUAAGCAGUCAACCAGUGCAUCUGCAAAGGCUGAUGCAUAUAUCAAACUUGGAAAGUAGUUUGCUCGGAAUAUGGAAGAAAAGCAGGCUGCAAAAUGAAGCUGCUCAUGGUAUGAGAUUGUUGUUAUCCUCCAAAGACCUCACCUGGUAAAGGUGCUGUUGGAACUGUGCUGCAUUGUAUCUGGGAUGUGUGCUCACACUCGCCUCUGUCCCGGUGGUGGGGACAGAAUGUAGACUGAAGAAGAAUGUUCAGAGGAGCAGGGCUGUUAGGGUGGAUGCGGCCCAAUGAACCUUUUUAUCAGCGAGCACUCUGCAUUUUUGUGGCAAAGGUUAUGAAUGCUGACUUUUUGUAUGUUUUCUGAAAAUGGGUCCUGCAAGACUUCAAGUUAAUUGGUGUUUUUGCACAUUGUAAACAUGUACUGAGUAUGUACACAAAGACUAUCUUGCUUCUGCAUAGCACGAGCUGCUGCAUGAUGGACCGGAUUUCUGCAAACCUCUCAUAAAUGUUGCAUUGUACAUUUUGAAAUGUACUUAAUUCUGUAAUAACAUAUUAUAUAACUAAGCUACAGAAUUAUAUUUAUAGAAGGAGUUUGACCACUGGCUAACUGCAGGCAGUACAGUUUUUCAGUAUAAUGGUUGAUCUGUUGCUGAAAUUCUAGUUUCACCUCAAGUGAUAAAAGACCUCUGUAUCUGUCAGCCUGAAUGAUUUCACAUGCUAUUUGGGCAGAUGUUAAUAGACUUCAAAAUCACCAGUUUGAAAAAAUGACUCAAGGAUGAUCUCUUUAUUGUUACUUCAUUUUUCAUAUUUUGUCUUUCUUGGGCAAUCUGCUUUAAAUUUAAUUAAAGCAUCUUAACUUGGCAGGACAACAAUUUCAUAACAUAUAGGAGUUUUCCAAUAUAUAUAAAAAAAUCAAAUGCUUACUGUGACAAAAUCUUAUUUAUUUCAAACGAAAUGACAGGCUUUUCUCAUGUAUUUAACCUAAGCUUUAAAUCACUUACGUAAGGAUUAACUGUAUCACAUAAUCAAGCAAACCCAAGGAGGUUCCAAUUAUUUUACUGGAACUUGAAAUAUAUUUCAUACUUUCUAAAACGUUUUCUUUAUAUUUUGGCUAUUUCUUAUGGAAUAGCAGUUGACAGUAGUGAGCAGUGAACUUCAUAGUAAAUCUGAGUUAAUCUGUAUUCUUCAGAAAUGUACUGCAUUGUUUUUAAAUGGUGCAUUCAUGCCGACACUAUAAUUUUACCAUAACUACUGGCUCAUGUUGUUAGAGGGCUUUCUGUUUUUCAUGAAUUCACUGCCUUUCAGUCUAAGUGCAUCACUAUUUUAAUUGAUCUCAGUAUAAUAGCUGUCUAUAUGCUUAGAGUUACCACUGUAAGCACCCGACAUAGAACCAUAUGCUUCUCUUGUGUCAGUCAAAUUAUCUCCUUUUCUGAGUGUCUUGUCAGAACUUUCUGCAAAGUGUGUAGAGUUAUCAGAAUGGAAAUGUUAAUAGUUUGCAGAAGAAAACGUAAGAUGAGAACGUGGUCUGUUCUCUUUCAGCUUUGUUGCUGGAUUCCCGUAUCAUGAAGGCUUUACAGAAUACUUUUGGCUUUUCUCUUUUGGAUUAAGCACACUCCCAGAUGUCCUGACAAAAUAGCUAGAUGGUGAUAAUUAUCAUGCUUGUUAAUUACCACCAUUUUCUGCUCUGUAAAUUAUUGGUCUUCCUCUUUCUCUUGUUAAGCCUCAUUCACUGAAACACAACCUACCAUUUCUUACCUCAUGCCUGCUGAGAACUAAGAGCAAGCAUGGAGUCAGCUGGACUGAGGAAAGAUAAUUCAUUCCACUGCAGAAACACCAUCAAAUAAUGAUGGCUUUGCCCUUUCUAUGGAUGCUGGCUGGGACUGAGAGAAAAUUUUCAAAAGGUUUCAUGCUGUGUCAGUGUCUGAAAUCUUAGGUUCACAAAAGCAUUUCUCUUCAGUCUAAAAAUUUCAGACAGUCUCUUUGUUUCAUCUGCUAGAUGACCUCCAGCCCUGCUGAAACAUCCUGAGAUAGAGUAGUUGGAUAUUUCUGGUUCUGAACCCUAAAGAUGAAGUCUCCAAGAAGUAUCAGAUGAACGAAAGUAAUUUUACCUUUGGAAACAAAAAGUCUUACUAAGCCCAAGUCUUUUCCAGCUUUGUUUUCAGUAGUGAGUGCUAUAUUUGGAACUUAAAAUGCUUGUUCUCUAUCAUAAAUAUAUUGAGUAUCUCAGCUGAGUAGGGUAAAGCUAUUUAGAAUGACACCAUGGAAACAUUCCUAAAAUAAUGGUAUAAGUACAAUUUUGUAUGCUGGCUUUUGGUGUGGGUUGUUUGCUUGGUUGUAAGAAAAGCUCAGAAAUUGCAAAGGAUAAGUGGUUCAAUUUUGUCAGUAAUUUAAAUGCGGCAAGAAUCAGUGCCUGGAUUCUUCAAUGACACUCUACCUGGGACUCUGCAGUUGCUUGCAAAUAUCACAAAUAUUGUCUUAUUAGAGUGAGUUAGAAAAGACCGGUCAGAAGAACAGACUGGCACUGCCAUGCUUGGCCUUUAAAUGUUUGCUUUUUGAAAUACCGGUGAAUGUAGAGGAGCAUCAGUAAGGGUCAUCACCGAAGUAGCAACUUUACAAUAUUUUUUUUAUUCCAAAGAAUGCUUUGAGAAAGACUAUGCCAUAAUAGUAGUUAUAGCGUUUUACUUUCGAUAAUAAUAAAUGCAGAACAAAAAAAUUUUAAACUCAGAAAGUCAUACUUGAAAGUACUUUAUCAGCACAAGAUAUUCAAGGCAAGAAAAAAAUGAUUUAAAAAAUGGGAUUUGAUUAGUUUGUUCAGUGAAAGGCCAGAAUAAAUAAAAACUUCAACCUGCAGAGAAAGAGAGAACAGCUAUUCCAUGUUCACUUUGCCUUUUCUUUAGGUAGAGUUUGGAAGUACUCUGUCUCCUACUGCAAAAGUUCUCGGUCCUAUGCAAAUGUGUUUUUUCUGUAAGGUGCUGUGGAGAUUCCUGUAUGAUACUCCUUUCUUGAUCUUUGGGCUUACACAUUUACUUGCUUGGAAUAUUGUCUUGGCAUCCUCGCCUUUAUGCAAAGUGUAAGUAAAUUUGUAAGUUAAUGUAUGUACUCCUAUAUGUCUCAAGUCAAGUGAAGCUCUGUUUUAGACAUAUUUAUACAACUACCUAUGUGUUUUGCCUCUUGUUGCCAUUCCAACUUACAUUUCUGUUUCCUGUACCUCAGAGAACACACAACUGGAAAAUAAAAACUGAAAAGCUACUUCACCGUUAAAUUGAGGUACUACUACUGAUUUUUAGGGGAAGAGAAGAUAGAUUUUUUUGGGGUUUUGCUUUGUAGUCUCUGCUUGAUAUUUUUUUUUCCACAUUUCCAAACUCCAUGAUCUACAAUUACGUUCUUAACUAACCAAGAAAUCAAGGUUUUAUUUUGGUGGCAUUCUGUACUUUUUUUGAGUGAGCGAUUGAUAAAAAUCUGGUUUUCACUCUAAGCAAAAAAAAAAAAACACCUCAAAAUUGACAAAACCCUCUCCCCAA